UAUACAUUACGAUCAUUAUGCUAGCAUAGAUAAGGAAAUCUGUAAUGGCUUAGUAGCAUCAUCUAGGAGAAACACACACCUUCUGGCUAUUUUGGUCAGUCUUCAUCCAAAAGGGACUUAACAGAAAUAGUCUGUGCUUAAAAUGCUGAUUUAAUAUCAUUUUGACCUGAGCUGUAUUAUCAAAUCAUCUUACUAACAUGGGAUAGGAUUGUUACUGUUCUAAUGAAACAAAGUGCCUACCUCUCAUCUCCCUACAGCAACCCAAUUCGUCCCAAGCACACCAACAAAUAGUAAUUUGACUACUGUGACAAGACAAGAAAAAGGUAAUUGUUCAAACACCUGAUGAGGGUAUCUGAAAAUCUGCAUGUCCAAGAGUUGAUUUUUUUUUAAAUACAUGUUGUUCACUGCAAUGGGGGGAAACACACUUAUUGAUGUUUAAUAGUAAAGUAUCUUUUAUGUGCUCUGGUUUAUACAAAAUAUAGUACUGCAUUAACUUCAAAGGUGGUAAGAAGAUUAAAAUAAAAGUUCAUGGGAUGUGACAUGCAACACAGUAUUAAAGAUAUAAGACUGAGCAAUCCCAGUGCCUUAGCAGGAUCCUUUUAUGUUUCUUUGUUAAUGAGGGAAAUUCUUAAAAUGCAAUCCAGCAAGCAUAAGUGUGAGUAAAAAGCUUUUAAAAUCUUAUUACAACAUGUUAUUUAGUGAGCUAAUCAUCAAAGCAUUUUUUUAGGGGGCUUUAGUUACUAAAAUCAAUAAAACUCACUU
rnacentral:lncRNA from 1 species